ensembl:lncRNA novel transcript, antisense to CDH23
CUUACAUCUAUGGGAAGCGGUGCCUAACAAAUGGAUUCUGAAUAAGAAGACAGCUCCAGCAACGCAGCUCUCCUGCUGUCUCUCCUCCCCUGCCCCUCGGACUCCUCCCACCCCUGUCCCUCUGUCCCAAGCCUGGAACCUCAAGAAGGUAUCUUCUGGGUAACUGAAGUGGAUAACCAACCGAUCAGGAAGUUCCAAGGGCCUUCCAAGCCCCUUCUGGAAUGAAGAAUGCGGAGACUCGAUUUCCACCUAGAAACAGAGUCCCACCCCUCCCUCCUUCUCCUCCUGGCCCCGGGGGUGCCCAGUGAAGGGCCCAACAGCUCCUAGGGCACCCUGACCUUCCCCCAGGAAGUGGGAGAGACCAGCGGUAGGAAUUGCAAAUGACGUUCAUUAAGCAGGAUGCUAAUACCAUGAAUUACAAAUGAAACCCAGAUGAAGAGGACCCUGGCAGCCUUACCUCUGUUAGAUAUUAAUUGGGCGACACUUUGUUUUAAUGGUACGUUAAUUAAUGCGGAAUUUCGACGGAAGUCCUCGUGACACUCACAUUAAUACAAACGAAUUCAUUACUGUCGGUGUUAUUACAAGAAAUGACAAAUAAAUCUGUAACAGUGGGACCCUUCAAAUAAUAAUCACGAAUCAUUA